ACAAUCUAAUCAGCCGCUAGCAGGUGUAGAGCAGGCAGAAAAACAUGAAGAGACGAGACUGGCCCAGCCUCCCAGCCUACAUCUUUCUCCUGUGCUGGACGCUUCCUGCCCUCGAACAUCGGACUCCAAGUUCUUCAGGUUUGGGACUCGGACUUGCUCUCCUUGCUGCUCAGCUUGCAGACAGCCUAUUGUGGUGGGACCUUGUGAUUGUGCAGGACUGCAGGACUGCAGCCACCAGGACAUGGCAUAGGGACCAGGGUGGCCUGCUGGCAAAGGACAGGCAGCCGGCAAGACUCCUGGAUUCCUAUCCUGGCUCCAGUGUCUACCAGCAGUGCAUUUUCCCACCCUGUGCCUCACUUUCCCCAUCUGUAAGAAGGGGGUGGUGACUGUAACUACAGUAGGGUUUUAGUGAUGUCUAAUGUAUUACUCAUAUAAAGCACAGAGUAAGACCCCAUUACUGCCCUUGCCACCAGGGGCCCCAGUGCAGCAGGAGGCUGUGAGGUGGUUUGGGGCCCUCUACUCGCUGGCCUGUGCGUGCUCCCUUGCCAUCCUGUGUGGUGUCACACUGCUGCUUCCCUCACUGGGUACGCAGGAGAAAAGGUAAGGCAGUAAGCACCAGUGGUCAGUUCAGCGGAUCGCUCGCUGCUCGCUGCCUCUGAGGCUCUGAGCCUGAGCCAGGAAGGUGCAUCCUUGGGCAGUCGCGGGCCAGGCCAAGUUCAGCCCGCAGAGUGGCCCUCCCCUGCCUCCUCUGGCCACUUGCUCUUUACAAGGAACGGAGGUCCAGGAGGUGGAUGGACCUGUGCACCUCCCAGCUGCAGGCCUCUGUUCUGUCUCUGUGAUGUGAUGGCGGUGAGUGGUGGCUGAUCACUGAAAGGAGGUGUUCCAGGCAGGGGUGGGUGAAGUUGGUGCGGGCGGGGUGUGGGGGGGGCUUUGCCAUCUCAGAUGUUGUUUUUGUGCCAGCCCAGCCCCAGGCCACUGGAGAGAAGACCGUGGAAUGAAUGAAUUGGUGGCUGGAUGCUCAGUGGAGGGGUGCGGGUCACUUUGAGUUAUCCAUGUCAGAUAGUCCGAGCCGUCACACCCUCAGCUUCCUAUCAGCAGAGGAGUUUUUCUGGAGGAAUCUCAAACUAGGUAAUAACCUCAUAUUAGCAGUAAAUGUCACCAUCCUUUGAUGACUCAGACCUAAGAAAUGGAACCACAGCCUGACCCACUUUUCUCAAAAUUUAAUUACUCAGAGCUCUGGGGACAUGGGCUCAGCCUAUUUGCCGAGAUGUCUCUGCCCAUGAAAUGGAAGCUUCCUUUAUUUUCUGUUUCCUAGACCCGUGUUCUUGUAGGGAAAUUAGCUCUUCUGUCCUUUUCUUCCUUGCCAGGACCUCGGCAAUAGGGUUUCUGGUGGCCUCUUUUUUUUCUGUAAAUAAAUGCCACAAAAUGACAUAAAAACAGUGUGGUGAUUCCUCAAGGAUCUAGAACCAGAAAUACCAUUUGACCUGGUGAUCCCAUUACUGGGUAUAUACCCAAAGGAUUAUAAAUCAUCCUACUAUAAAGAGAAAUGCACACGUAUGUUUAUUGCGGCACUGUUCACAAUAGCAAAGACUUGCAACCAACCCAAAUGCCCAUCAAUGAUAGAUUGGAUAAAGAAAAUAUGGCACAUAUACAUCAUGGAAUACUAUGCAGCCAUAAAAAAAGGAUAGUUCAUGUCCUUUGCAGGGACAUGGAUGAAGCUGGAAAUCAUCAUUCUCAGCAAACUAACACAAGAACAGAAAACCACAAACACCACAUGUUCUCACUCAUAAGUGGGAGUUGAACAAUGAGAACACACGGACACAGGGAGGGGAACAUCAUGCACCAGGGCCUGUUGGGGGGUGGGGGGCUAGGGGAGGGAGAGCAUUAGGAGAAAUACCUAAUGUAGAUGACAGGUUAAUGGGUGCAGCAAACCACCAUGGCAUGUGUAUACCUGUGUAACAAACCUGUGCGUUCUGUACAUGUAUCCCAGAACUUAAAGUAUAAUAAAAAAAAUUUUUUUAAAUGUG